GCCGAUUUAGCUCAGUUGGUAGAGCAUCUGUCUUGUAAACAGAGGGUCGUACGUUCAAGUCGUAUAAUCGGCA
rnacentral:tRNA from 2 species